rnacentral:rRNA from 1 species
UUCGACACACUAUCAUUAACUGAAUCCAUAGGUUAAUGAGGCGAACCGGGGGAACUGAAACAUCUAAGUACCCCGAGGAAAAGAAAUCAACCGAGAUUCCCCCAGUAGCGGCGAGCGAACGGGGAGCAGCCCAGAGCCUGAAUCAGUGUGUGUAUUAGUGGAAGCGUCUGGAAAGGCGCGCGAUACAGGGUGACAGCCCCGUACACAAAAAUGCACAUGCUGUGAGCUCGAUGAGUAGGGCGGGACACGUGGUAUCCUGUCUGAAUAUGGGGGGACCAUCCUCCAAGGCUAAAUACUCCUGACUGACCGAUAGUGAACCAGUACCGUGAGGGAAAGGCGAAAAGAACCCCGGCGAGGGGAGUGAAAAAGAACCUGAAACCGUGUACGUACAAGCAGUGGGAGCCUCUUUAUGGGGUGACUGCGUACCUUUUGUAUAAUGGGUCAGCGACUUAUAUUCUGUAGCAAGGUUAACCGAAUAGGGGAGCCGAAGGGAAACCGAGUCUUAACUGGGCGUUAAGUUGCAGGGUAUAGACCCGAAACCCGGUGAUCUAGCCAUGGGCAGGUUGAAGGUUGGGUAACACUAACUGGAGGACCGAACCGACUAAUGUUGAAAAAUUAGCGGAUGACUUGUGGCUGGGGGUGAAAGGCCAAUCAAACCGGGAGAUAGCUGGUUCUCCCCGAAAGCUAUUUAGGUAGCGCCUCGUGAAUUCAUCUCCGGGGGUAGAGCACUGUUUCGGCAAGGGGGUCAUCCCGACUUACCAACCCGAUGCAAACUGCGAAUACCGGAGAAUGUUAUCACGGGAGACACACGGCGGGUGCUAACGUCCGUCGUGAAGAGGGAAACAACCCAGACCGCCAGCUAAGGUCCCAAAGUCAUGGUUAAGUGGGAAACGAUGUGGGAAGGCCCAGACAGCCAGGAUGUUGGCUUAGAAGCAGCCAUCAUUUAAAGAAAGCGUAAUAGCUCACUGGUCGAGUCGGCCUGCGCGGAAGAUGUAACGGGGCUAAACCAUGCACCGAAGCUGCGGCAGCGACGCUUAUGCGUUGUUGGGUAGGGGAGCGUUCUGUAAGCCUGUGAAGGUGUACUGUGAGGUAUGCUGGAGGUAUCAGAAGUGCGAAUGCUGACAUAAGUAACGAUAAAGCGGGUGAAAAGCCCGCUCGCCGGAAGACCAAGGGUUCCUGUCCAACGUUAAUCGGGGCAGGGUGAGUCGACCCCUAAGGCGAGGCCGAAAGGCGUAGUCGAUGGGAAACAGGUUAAUAUUCCUGUACUUGGUGUUACUGCGAAGGGGGGACGGAGAAGGCUAUGUUGGCCGGGCGACGGUUGUCCCGGUUUAAGCGUGUAGGCUGGUUUUCCAGGCAAAUCCGGAAAAUCAAGGCUGAGGCGUGAUGACGAGGCACUACGGUGCUGAAGCAACAAAUGCCCUGCUUCCAGGAAAAGCCUCUAAGCAUCAGGUAACAUCAAAUCGUACCCCAAACCGACACAGGUGGUCAGGUAGAGAAUACCAAGGCGCUUGAGAGAACUCGGGUGAAGGAACUAGGCAAAAUGGUGCCGUAACUUCGGGAGAAGGCACGCUGAUAUGUAGGUGAAGCGACUUGCUCGUGGAGCUGAAAUCAGUCGAAGAUACCAGCUGGCUGCAACUGUUUAUUAAAAACACAGCACUGUGCAAACACGAAAGUGGACGUAUACGGUGUGACGCCUGCCCGGUGCCGGAAGGUUAAUUGAUGGGGUUAGCGGUAACGCGAAGCUCUUGAUCGAAGCCCCGGUAAACGGCGGCCGUAACUAUAACGGUCCUAAGGUAGCGAAAUUCCUUGUCGGGUAAGUUCCGACCUGCACGAAUGGCGUAAUGAUGGCCAGGCUGUCUCCACCCGAGACUCAGUGAAAUUGAACUCGCUGUGAAGAUGCAGUGUACCCGCGGCAAGACGGAAAGACCCCGUGAACCUUUACUAUAGCUUGACACUGAACAUUGAGCCUUGAUGUGUAGGAUAGGUGGGAGGCUUUGAAGUGUGG